rnacentral:rRNA from 1 species
UACGUAGGGCGCAAGCGUUGUCCGGAAUUAUUGGGCGUAAAGCGCUCGUAGGCGGCUUGUUACGUCGGGUGUGAAAGCCCGGGGCUUAACCCCGGGUCUGCAUUCGAUACGGGCUGGCUAGAGUGUGGUAGGGGAGAUCGGAAUUCCUGGUGUAGCGGUGAAAUGCGCAGAUAUCAGGAGGAACACCGGUGGCGAAGGCGGAUCUCUGGGCCAUUACUGACGCUGAGGAGCGAAAGCGUGGGGAGCGAACAGG